GNGAAAUGCUUAGAUAUCACGAAGAACUCCGAUUGCGAAGGCAGCUUGCUGGACUGUAACUGACGCUGAGGCACGAAAGCGUGGGGAUCAAACNGGAUUAGAUACCCUGGUANNCCACNCCGUAAACGAUGAAUGCUAGCUGUUAGCGAUAUACUGUUAGCGGCACAGAGAAAUCGUUAAGCAUUCCACCUGGGGAGUACGCCGGCAACGGUGAAACUCAAAGGAAUUGACGGGGGCCCGCACAAGCGGAGGAACAUGUGGUUUAAUUCGAUGAUACGCGAGGAACCUUACCUGGGCUUAAAUUGCAGUGGAAUAACGUGGAAACAUGUUAGCCUUCGGGCCGCUGUGAAGGUGCUGCAUGGUUGUCGUCAGCUCGUGCCGUGAGGUGUCGGCUUAAGUGCCAUAACGAGCGCAACCCUCAUCGAUAGUUACUAACAGGUUAAGCUGAGGACUCUAUCGAGACUGCCGACGUAAGUCGUGAGGAAGGUGGGGAUGACGUCAAAUCAGCACGGCCCUUACGUCCAGGGCUACACACGUGUUACAAUGGGGGGUACAAAGGGCAGCUACCUGGCGACAGGAUGCUAAUCUCAAAAACCUCUCUCAGUUCGGAUUGGAGUCUGCAACCCGACUCCAUGAAGCUGGAUUCGCUAGUAAUCGCGCAUCAGCCACGGCGCGGUGAAUACGUUCCCGGGCCUUGUACACACCGCCCGUCAAGCCAUGGGAGCCGGGGGGACCUGAAGUAUGCAACCGUAAGGAGCGUCCUAGGGUAAAACUGGUGACUGGGGCU
rnacentral:rRNA from 1 species